UACAGAGGUCUCAAGCGUUGUUCGGAUUCAUUGGGCGUAAAGGGUGCGUAGGUGGCGCUGUAAGUCGGGUGUGAAAUUUCGGAGCUUAACUCCGAAACUGCAUUCGAUACUGCGGUGCUUGAGGACUGGAGAGGAGACUGGAAUUCAUGGUGUAGCAGUGAAAUGCGUAGAGAUCAUGAGGAAGACCAGUGGCGAAGGCGGAUCUCUGGACAGUUCCUGACACUGAGGCACGAAGGCCAGGGGAGCAAACGGG
rnacentral:rRNA from 1 species